rnacentral:rRNA from 1 species
AUGGACGCCGACGACCCCGCCGCCACGUCCUCCGAACCGCCCACCUCCGAAGCCGACUUCUUCGACGUCCCAGAUGCCCUCCCCACUCCCCCUCCCCCUCCCUCACCCCACACCCCGUCCUCCUCCACCCUCCGCCGCCGCCCGCGCCGCGCCAAAAUCCUGAUGCAGCCCGACGACCCCGUCUCCCCCUCGGCUUCCGCCGCAUCCAUCGUCACCGCGGUCGAUGAGCCCGACAAGGACAAGGACAGGGCCAAGGCCAAGCCUGAUUCCGAUUCCUCCGUCACCGUCACCGUCACCGCGGCCGAUGAGCCCGACAAGGCCAAGGCCAAGCCCGAUUCCGAUUCCGAUUCCGAUUCCUCCGAGGCCACCAGCGCGCCCCGUUCCCCCCCUCCCCUCGAGGAGGAGGUGGACCAGAAGGAUGCGGAGCCGGCGGCCCCCGAGGCGAAUGUGGACGAGAAGGAUUCGGAGCCGGCGGCCCCCGAGGCGAAUGUGGACAAGAAGGAUUCGGAGCCGGCAGCCCCCGAGGCGGAGGUAGACGAGAAGGAUGCGGAGUCGGCGGUCCCCGAGGAGGAAGUGGACGAGAAGGACGCGGAGUCGGAGGCCGCGGCGCCGGAUUACAGGCCGCCGCCGGCGCCGCCGGCCUUUGUCGAGUCCCUCGCCGUGUUCGUCAUCAAAGCCGUGGUGUUCCAGGUCAGCGCGCUCGUCGCCUGCCUCACGUUCCCCUUCCGGCUGCUGCAAUGGUGGUUCCUCUUCGUGACCGACCCGCUCGGCUCGGUGCAGCGGGCGAGGGAUUGGGCUCUCGGGGUGGCGGGGCAGGCCACCGGCGCGGUGAGCGCGUGGCUCGGAGCGGGGGACGGGGUGGCGCGCGUGGUGGCGAGGCUGCUGUGGGGGGCGCUCUGGGCCAUGUACGUCUGCGUGCUUCUGUGCGCGAUGCUCGCUAUGGCGUUUACGGCAGGGGGGGUCUUGGUGGGGAAAGUGGUGGAGGAGCCCGUUCAGGUGACGGAGAACCUGAAUUUCGAUUACACCAAGCCGAGCCCCGUGGCGUUUGUGCCGGUGGGGCGGCUGGUACCGCCGCAACAGCGGAUGCAGCUCGAGGUGUUGCUGACGCUGCCCGAGUCGGAUUACAACAGGAGGCUUGGGGUUUUCCAGGUGAGGGCAGAGCUUCUAUCUGCAGAUGGGAAAGUGGUCACGGCUUCGAGUCAACCAUGCAUGCUAAAGUUCAAGAGCGUCCACAUGCAUUUCAUAGAAACCUUUUUCCAAAGUGUUUCUCUUUUGUCCGGCUAUUCAUCUGAAUCUCAGGUUAUCAAACUAAAAAUGACAGGCAUCAGGGAGGCUUUCAAGCCAAUAACAGGAGUAAGGAUAGUGCUCGAGCAACGAGCCGAGUUUGCCACGGGUGCAGGCAUCCCAGAGAUCUAUGCCGCGUCGAUAAAGCUCGAGGCCGAGCUCCCUCUACUCAAGAGAAUACUCUGGCACUGGAGAUGGACCAUGUUUGUGUGGAGCAGCAUGGCGGUCUUUGUCUUCGAACUGUUGCUCGCCGUUGUUUGUUGUAGACCCUGUAUAUUUCCCAGGAGUUGA